GAAAUGCGAUAAGUAAUGUGAAUUGCAGAAUUCAGUGAAUCAUCGAAUCUUUGAACGCACAUUGCGCCCGCCAGUAUUCUGGCAGGCAUGCCUGUCCGAGCGUCAUUUCACCCAUCAGGCCCCGCCUGUGUUGGGGCCCUGCGGCUGCGCGCAGGCCCUGAAAAGCAGUGGCGGACCCGCUGUCACCCCGAGCGUAGUAACUUACCCUCGCCCUGGGCGUGCUGUGGGCUCCAGCCGUUAAACCCCAACCUUACAAAGGUUGACCUCGGAUCAGGUAGGAAGACCCGCUGAACUUAAGC
rnacentral:misc_RNA from 1 species